GUCAGACAGAUAGUUCAGUUGGUAGAGCAUGAGACUCUUUAUCUCAGGGUCGUGGGUUGGAGCCCUACGUUGGGCA